rnacentral:lncRNA from 1 species
AUGCCUAGAAGGGGCACAGGUCACUCCCUGCCUUGGUGCCUUGGCUCUACUGCCCCAGAUGCCUCCUUGACAGAUCUGUCUCUGUCUUUAGCUCCCUGGCAUUCAGAAGUGCCAUUGCUCAGCCCCACCUUGAAGGCUGGUUCUGGUGUCCUAUACACGUUGAGGGUCUCUGAACCUUCAACUCUCAGCAGUGGGUUCUCAACCUCUCCUUGGGUCAUCAGCAGGAACUCAUUUACAUCUGCAGAUGGAGAGCCCAGAGUUACCUCAAGCCAGGGAACCCUGGUUAAGGUUCCACCCCAAGCUCUCCUUCAACCAUAGCGGGGUAACCCCAUGUCCAUCCCAGUUAACAUCAAAGCCAGCAACUAGCUCUCUGUCCUUCCACGGGAUUCAGGAACACUGGCAUCUCCAUCCUCUGAGAGGGAAAGCCCAAGGUCACCAGGGACCCAAAGCAGGACAGGCAUGCUACCUUUGGGAAGCAAGAUCCAGCUGAGCCCCCAGCACAAGGCCAGGGGCUUCUUGGAGGCUACACCUACU